rnacentral:lncRNA from 1 species
AUGAUAAUGGACAAUAGUGUGGAAAUAGAUUGCUCAUCUUGUAUAUUUUUCUUCCCAGGAGUUGUUAUAACUUGAUUAUGAAGGGACUAUGCUGAUGGAGUGUGAGCCGAAUCUCAGGAUUCCCUGUACAGAGCUUUCCCAUAUCAUCAAGAAGCAGGAGGGCCACAGGGGAUGGUGGAGAUGGAAACCUCAAAGCCCUGACUUGGGGUGCUCAUGUCCUGGCUAAAAGGAGAAGAAAGGAGAAGACAAAUCAAAGUCAUGAUUUUUUGAAGUCUUUCGUUAAAGCUAGUCAAUUUUCCUCUUGGUACAGGGGAAACCUGGAAGGGCACCCACAGAAUAAGUAUCAUCAAGUUGGGCAAGUCUUAGAAGGCUCUCAGUCACCUCCUGACCACUUGUUCCAGGAAGACAACAUCCCUCCCCAAAGUUCAAAGUUUUUGAACUAGUUUGGGCCAGAAGUUGAGCUCUGUAGGUAACCUCAACUGCAAAAAAAUAAGGUGGAAGUGCAAGGGAGUAGGAAGAUGAGAAAGGCCAAAAGAAAAGGAAGGAAACUUUGCAAGGGAUGCUGCGGCUUUCCCACUGGACAAAGAAGCAUAUCUAAUCUCUGGAUAAUGCCCUUCACAGAAAACCGUUUGGUGCUUAGGAAAUAGAAAACAAAAACAUCUUCACAGAGAAAAGGCAACUCAAUUCAAGCAAGUUUCAGAACAGGGCUGAGAGAAGAGAUUGAGGAGGUUAAAAAGGAACUAGUGUGUGUCUCUCCCUCCCUAAUCAGCCUCUUCCCCCACCACCUUUCCCUUUCCUGAGCAGAAUGUUCUCUGGCCUGGCAACAAUGGAGAAUUAAGGAGGGGAGUUUUAAACUGAACAGACCCUACUUUUAGAACAGUGUAGUAGUCUUUUUAGUACAUAGUAGGAUCUCUCUCUCUCUCUCUCUCUCUGUGUGCCCCUCCCUCCCUCUCACUCCCAAUCUAAAUGCCUACAUUCCUUGUACUCUC